rnacentral:lncRNA from 1 species
CUUGUGAAAGAAAGUGUAGAAGUUGCCGUUGUGGGUCAGUCCUCCUUAACCCACUGAGCGAGGCCAGGGAUUGAACCUGCAUCCUCAUGGAUGCUAGUCAGAUUCCUUUCUGCUGAGCCAUGAAGGGAAUUCCAAAGCAGUGUCUUUUUGACAUUAGUCUUACUCAGGCCACUUCAGCCAGUCAUCUCACAAAUGAGUAUUGAUGGUUUUAUGUGGAGCUAGAUGAGAUGCUGGGUGAGGGCCUUUCCCUAUUGGUCCUAAAAUGACACCUUGGAGCACAUCUCAAUGGCCAGCAGCAUUAUCUUUGCUUGGCGAGACCAGUCCAUGGGGUAGGAAGUACCCUUUGGUGAGCAUCUGCUCUGAAGACUUUACUGAUGUUCACGGGUAGUUCUAAGUCCAAGAGCAAAUGACAACAUGAGAGGAUCUCAGCUCUUCUAGGAUAGUUUCCUCUCACUGAGCUACCUUUGCCCCUGGGAUUGGAAGAGUCAAUCAAACUUGUGACUUGGGUCAUCUGGAAGGGAAGUAUUGAGUGGGGUUACACACUAUAAAGAUAUUUCCACUUCCCAGUAGAAUAUACUCCAAGGUUAUAGACACAUUUAACACAAGGGCAAAAAAAAAAAAAAGUCAAGACUUCAGUUUAAUUCUUCUUUAUUUCUGCUCUUUGAACACUAAAAUUGUGUUUUCUUCACUUAGAAUUUUUCAGUGAAGGUUAGGGGCUUAUCAGAACUUCCUUUCCAUUCUGGCACUGGUUUAAUUUUGUAGGGUUAUUUUAAUGGAGUUGUUUCCCAAUUAAGCAAAAAUUUUCAGGAACAUCUCUGUGUUUAAGGUAGCUUAAUAUACCUAUAAAAAGCCAAGAGCUAUUCAAACCGGCUGGUUAUGAGUUCCUCAUGAGAUGGGUAAUGGUGAGUUCAAUACUGACAUUGGCAGUUUCUUUAAAAAUGGAGAAAUGUACCAUGGGGAGUUCCCACUUUGGUACAGUAGGUUAAAAAUCCGACUGCAGCAGCUUGGGUUUCUGCAGAUGUGCGAGUUCAAUCCCUGGCCCAGUGCAGUAGGUUAAAGGAUCUGGCAUUCCUGCAGCUGUGGCUUGGAUUCAGUCCCUGACCUGAAAACUUCCAUGUGCCAUGAGCACUGCCAUUAAAAAAAAAAAAAGAUGGAAAACAAAUGCAUCAUGGAAUUUCUCAAAGUCCUAGAAGCAUAAAAGAAAAGAAUAUUCAAGUUUUCCCACAUGAGCACGGUGGUAGGAAUGGAGGUGAGGCGUUGUCACUUGUAAACCAAAGGAUAUAAGCCAAGUGAGAAAUCACUUGGGGUGCAGCUGAGAUCAGUAUCAUAUGGUGAAACUCACUGGGAUAUUUUAUUUCUUGUUUGGGGACAGAUGGACAAGAAGAUUUUCUCCAGCAAAGCUAAGCCUCUCCAUGUUCCCUAAAAGCUUAGAGGUAUUAUCUUCAACUCACCCCAAGCCAGGAAAUAGAACAACACACAUUUUUUGGUGUCCAAGGGGCCAGUGCUUGCAUUUGUCCAGUGAGGGAAUUGGCCCUUCUACACAACUUGUGAACUGAUACUCCUGCAGCAUGUUUGGUCCUUCCAGAGUCUUCUUUCUGAAGCCUUUUUGGACAACUACAGAUGUGGUUCUUUAAAAGCUGCCUGCAAGACAAGGUCCACUGAUGGGUGCUAAAAUUAGCAGGUGAACAUUUGUGGAGAAACAGGCUAUAUGUCUAAAGGUAUUUAUAAAUUACAAAAGGAAAAACAGUAACUUAUUGUGUGGCCAACAUAACAGUCACACCAGAAGCAGGUGAUCAGUGUUACUGUCGCUAAUAAUCAGGCAUAUCAACACCAUUUACCCUCUGAUACGAUGUCCUGAGAAGGGUCUGUUAUCAUCUCUCUGCUUUACCUUAAUUAUGAGAAAACAUCAGACAAACCCAAACGGAGGGACCGUCUGUAAGUUAAAUGGCUAGCACUCUUCAGAAGUGUCAGGGUCAGAAGAGACAAGGUAAAACUGAGGAAGUGUCACACAUUGUCGGUGCCUAAGGAGGGGUAGAUUCUGCAAUGGGAAAAGCAUAUUAGUGGAAAGACUGGUGAAAUCUGAAUAAAUUCUAUAGUUUAUGUAGUAGUACUGUAUCGCUCAUGUUAAUUUUCUGGUUUUGAUGAUUGUACCACAGUUACGGAAGAUGCCAGCACCAGGGAAAGCUGGGUGGAGGGUAUACACGUGUGAAUUCUCUGUACAAUUUUUGUGACUUUUCUCUAAGUCUAAACCUAUCUCUCUAAAUAAAAAGUUAAAAAAUAAGUUUCUUGGGAAAAAAAAAAAAAAACCCAAGCAGCAUCAUAUUGCCCUAUGAAGUGCCUUAGUGCCUCACUGAACCAGAUGGGGGUGCAUAAUUAUCUUCCUUCACAUUCUGUGUUUAAUUUCUACAAGUUGUAACUUGUGCAGCUUUUCAGUCUUGUGGGAAGCCUAGGAAAAUGAUAUUUCAUGUUUCAAGACUGAAAGGGUAAAAUUGAGAAGAGCCUCUCCAACUUGAUUUCACAAGCUUUAUUACUUGUGAGAAAUGUGUCUGUGAACAGGGAGAUACAAAUGAUGUAAAAGAUAUAUAUUUUUAAAGGCUGAAACAGAAGAGAGAAUUUAAGGCAGGAGGAUUGCCAAUUAUUUGAUUUUUUUCCCCUUAAAAGCUGUAUACUUCUUUGCAGUCAGAAUCCGUUUGUUUCAAAUCUUCAUUAAGCAGUGACACCAUUCAUCCAAUGGGUGCAUUGGCAUAAUGAGCUCUCAUAAAUACAGUGUUUGUGAUCUUUCUCGAAUUAUUAGAGUGAGGAAUGGGGGUAUAGUGAAAUCACACAGUACCCCAUCUACUUGGUCUAAAACAUACUUACAUAUGCCAUACCAAAUUAACAUCCUGUCAUAGUUUCUGCUUCCUCUCCACCCCCACCCCGUCUCUCUGUCUCCUCUCCUCUCCUCUCUCUCCUUUCUCUGUCUCACUUUGGUUCUCUCUCUCUUGCACCCACCCCUAAUCCCUAAUUGAGGCAGUUCAGGUCAAAUCAUGAUUGUUAAUGGAAAGAAACCAAGUCAUUUGUCACAGAGCUUAAUUUCGCCUGCACUGCCUGAUUUCCUGCUGUUAUUGUACUUACAGUAGAUGAUAAAAGCAGUUGCUACAGCCUCUUCAUAGGAAAACAAAUCCCAGCUGCAAUCUGAAUCAAAGCACCUGGGGCCGUGGAUCAGCUGGGAUCAAACAGCUGUUUUUCCAGCCUUGUUUUCUCCCCAGGUUCAUUGAGAUACACUGCGCCAUUUUGAAUAAAAGUUAGCUCCCACAUUUCCAAGUAAUGUGUUUGGUCUUAGAUGAGUGAGUAUUUGAGGUCACUCCUGAGAAAGGCCUCAGAGUCCUUUUCUCAUCAUACCACCUCAGAACUCACAGACUCCCUCUGGGUUUCUGAAACUGCAGUUCAUGGGCUUGGAACCACCUGUGUGUUAAGAUAGAGCUUGACUGUGUACACAUUGAAAAUUGGAAAGCCCAUACUGAGAGGCCAGGAGGACAGGUUCUUCUUGUGGGGAAAGGAUAAAAUACUUAACCGAGCAUUUGUAGAAAUGAUAAUUCCCCAGAAUCCCAUGAUUUGAACAAUUUGCUCCAGUUUUCGCCGUGCUAAUGGCCUGUUGACUACAGAGGUGAUGCUGGUUUUGAGACCUUUCUUACAGAUGGAUAAACAAGUAUGAUAGGCAUGUCUUUAGUCAUAAAGGAGGCUCAAAAGUAACCUGAUAGCUGCUGGUCAUGAUCAGCCUUCUGGCGAGACAUCUCCACCCCCAAAACAACCACAUGGGGCUUCCCUGGGGCCACUCUGAAAGGCACAUCACUAAGAGAGUUAUCUUCCCUUUCUGAAAUUCAACCCUGGCCAUGGCUCCAUCUAGGCUGGAGUGUAUGAAUAGGGUGUGUGUGUCCUCUCUCUCUGUGUGAGUGGGGUAAAGUGCUACCUGGCAUGAGAGAGGACAGAGCCUGAGAGGAGAGACUGAGGGAUGCCAGACAUCCCCCAGAUGAAUCAAUUGUAACUUCCAGAACCAUUGCCUUUGAAGACUCGUUCUAGGUUAGAGGUUUCCAAGUCUAGCUGAACACCUAAGUCACCUGCAGAAGCUUUAAAAAUGCAAAUUUCAGGGCUCCAUCCUAGCCUUAGUGGAUCAGAACUUUUAGGGGAAGGGCCAAGGAAAAAGUCUUUCCCAAAAGCCCAGCAGGUGGCUCAGACCAAGGUCUGGGUCUGGAAAUCACUGCUCCUGACCACUAUUAACCAAUCAUUAUCCCCUGUCUUGAUGGGAUACUGUGACUAAGUAAUAAGAAAAAUACCUUAGGGAGUUCCAUGGUGACUUAGUGGUUAAGGAUCUGGCAUUGCUAUUGCUGUGGCUCAGUUUGAUCCCUGGCCUGGGAAUUUGUGUAUGCUGUGGGCACAGCCAAAAAAAAAAAAA